rnacentral:antisense_RNA from 1 species
UGGCUGUACUGAGAAGAGGUCCUGACUCAGAACUGGAGGACAUCAUGGAAGGCUUCCUGGAGGAAGUGCCAUCUAGGCUGAAACCUAAAGGAUGAGUAGAACUAACCAGAUGAAAAGCCUGAGGGAUCUAAAGCCUUGGGACUUCUGGAUCUGCAAGUGGUCCCUGUUUUGGUAGCUAUUGACUGACCAGGGGCUCUUCGCCCCACAGGUGACUGAUGUAGCCUUGAGUGAGGACCUCGGCCAAAAAGAAGAAGGCUCCUACCGUGGCUCUUUGCUGAUGGUCUUCGCAGAGCCUGCUCUCUUUGAGCUUCCUGAGAGAGGGACACUACCCUCGCUUAGGUGAGUGCUCCAGGUCCAUGGGGCCUGAUGCUCUGUCCCUGGUCUGGCUUCCGCCCGUGUAUACAUUUGCAGUCUUGAUGGUGGCUUAGGAUCUGCUUCCAACAAGUCUGCCAAAUGUGCUCUGUAACACAGGGGGACCCUCCAAAUGUGCAUUGCUUUCUGUCAGUCUCAGGAAACCCAUUCCCUUCCCAGCCUAUCUCAGAAAUGGGGAGUGGUGGCUCAGUGGCCUCUGGCUCUGGCACAGCCCCUUGAUGGGUCCACAGUGGCCCCUCUGCCCUUGGCUCUGUUGGCUUCCCAACAGAUGUUCCUCUUCACAUGUAGUCCUAAGAACUCAAUCAGUUUAAAAA